UGGGCCAACGUUUUCAAUGAA
ensembl:piRNA 21ur-892 ncRNA